AGUCCUUUGUGGUUCUGAGGCUGCUGACCAGGUGUUCCAAGAAUUCCACUGUAGUUCAUUUGGAGCUCACUGUGGCCAAAUUAAAACCAGGGAUGCCAUCUGCAAGAGAUACUACUGGCCUGGAAUGACUUUAGACAUAGAUGGUUGGGUCUCCAGUUGUGUAGUGUGCCAGUCAAAAGGAUGCAGCAUAAAGAAGCCUGUGGAAUACACCCCGAUACUGGUCAACAGCCCUUUUGAGCUAGUAGGCAUGGACCUUAUAGGGAAGCUGAGCACUACUGAGGAUGGACAUCAGUACAUCUGUGUAAUGAUAGACUAUUUCACAAAGUGGCCUCAGGCAUACCCUCUUAAAUCAAAG